rnacentral:misc_RNA from 1 species
AAAUGCGUUACUUUUCAUGACUUGCAAACUUCAUGAAUGAAAAGACUUCGAAUGCAAAUUGCGCCGAUGGUUUUUAACCAUUGGCACAUUUGUUUGAGAAUCAUAUAUAAUAUAUACUGAUUUCUUUUUGGAAUUAGUGAUAUUUGAAAGGUUUUUUAUGCCUUUUGUACAUGGAGGACUUGGAGUUUUGAGAAUUUCCGUUGUUGGAAACUCUGAUAGCCUUGUCCUUUCAUAACCUUAUCUCAAAGGGGGAAUUUGAUCGCGUCUGUACAAGACGGCUUUCUUUUUAUGGUUUUUCUCUUUUAUGAAAAGCUUGAAUCGACAAUUUUAUAUAUAUUGUUGAGAUAAAAGUUUUUUCAUAUUUUUUUGAGUUGACAUAAAAUUAAAGCUCUUCUGUGCGUUCAAAUUUCAUCAUUUUUAUGAUCUCAAAUCAAGUGUGACUACCCGCUGAACUUAAGC